GCCUUUACAGCUGAGGGGUAGAGCGCUUGGCUUCUGUACCAGGGGGUUCCUGGUUUGAAUCCGGGUGAAGACU
rnacentral:tRNA from 1 species